rnacentral:rRNA from 1 species
UACGGGGGGGGCAAGCGUUGUUCGGAAUUACUGGCGUAAGGGCUCGUAGGCGGCCAACUAAGUCAGACGUGAAAAUCCCUCGGCUUAACCGGGGACUGCGUCUGAUACUGGAUGGCUUGAGUUUUGGGGAGAGGGAUGCGGGGAAAUUUCCUGGUGUAGCGGGUGAAAAUGCGCAGAUAUCAGGGAAAGAAACACCCGUGGGCGAAAGGGCGGGCUCUCUGGGACGGGUACUGACGCUGAGACGCGGAAAGCGUGGGAGCGAAAACAGGGG